rnacentral:lncRNA from 1 species
AACUUCCCCACUCUCCCUUUCCCCCGACCCUUGCUCCAGGGGCCGGAUGAGGAGAGGGAGGCGUGCCUAGACCCAGACAGUGCCCUGUCAAUGCCCUGGGUGAGAAGCUCUCUGGAAACCCCAGAAUGACUUGGGCCUAGGCCUCGCUUCCUCUCCUGACCACAUCCUGCAGCUCACAGCCAGAGGCAGGUGCAGAAGGGGCACUGUCCUCUAUUGGCCUCAGCCUCUGUGGACCAGAUCCCUCUCAACUGAUCGGGUGCAGGCUGGGCUGCAGGUAGUUAGUGAGUGCCUGAGAUGUGCAGGCAUGCUCCAGGCACUGGGAACACAGCCUUGAACCAACAGACAAAACCGUCUGCAUGCAUGGAGCUUGCAUCCUGACAGGAGGGACAAGCAAGAAACGAAGAAAUAAAUCGACAGCAUUCCAUUAGUUAGCACCUAGAUAAAAGAGAUAUACCUAUAGUGUUCAAAGCUUGAGCUAUGAGAAAUAAAAGAGCAAAAGAUCGUUUUCAUCAAAAGGACUAUGAAGCAUGUUAUGUUUUACUUAACAAAACCAGUGCUAACCAUGUUACAUCCUCCAGACUUGAAGUGUGUGGGUGUGUUUAACAGACACAAUUUUACCUUUUUUUCCCUUUUAAGUUAUCCGUCAACAUUUUUCAGUCUCUCUUUAAAGAGCAUCUUAAAUUUGCAUAAUAGUCAUUCAUCUUAAUAAAAACAUUACACUGUUGUUGGACAUUGUUGUUUCCUUUCAGGUUUAACUCUUUAAAAACUUCUCUAACUCAGCCGCAGGGUGCACUGCCUCAUGCCUGUAGUCCCGGCACUUCAGGAGGCCAAGGUGGGUGGAUCACGAGGUCAAGAGACUGAGACCAUUCUGGCUAACAU